ACUAGUGAUACCUAGCAGUAUGUAGUGGCAACCCAAUAGAACCGAAAAAGAACCUCAAGGUGUAGUUAAUAUGUGAUUCAAUCCCUUUAUCGUGACUUCCGAUCAGAUGAUAAGUCAUGGAUAAAUCGUCAAACCUCAUCAUUAGUCAUAUGAUAGAUUCGAUCAGUUCAAGUCCAAUUAUGAUCCUCAUAGAAAUUUUUUUCAUCAAUUACACUACUGUGGCUACAUAUUCGGAUUUAGUCUCUCAAAUUUUAUAGGACUACUUUUCUCUAUCAAGAUCGAUAGAUUUUAUCUAGAUACGUACAUACUCCUACAAUGGACCAACUAUUGCCAACAUCCACUACAAGAUCUCAUGAGAUCAUAUUUAUGUGUCAGUCAAACUCCAGCA
rnacentral:lncRNA from 1 species